rnacentral:rRNA from 1 species
GUCUGACCUGCCCAAUGAGUAAUUAAAUGGCCGCAGUAUUUUGACUGUGCAAAGGUAGCAUAAUCAUUAGUUUCUUAAUUAGAAGCUGGAAUGAAAGGUUGAACGAAAAAAUAACUGUCUCUUUAUAAAUUUAUUAGAAUUUUAUUUUUAAGUUAAAAAGCUUAAAUAGUUUUAAAAGACGAGAAGACCCUAUAGAGUUUUAUAUAAUUUAUUAUAAUUAAAUUAUUUAUAAUUAUAAAAAUUUUAUAUUAAAUUAUAUUUAAUUGGGGUGAUUGAAAAAUUUAAUAAACUUUUUUUUUAUAGAACAUUUUAUAUAUGAUUAGUUGAUCCAUUAUUUAUGAUUAAAAGAUUAAAUUACCUUAGGGAUAACAGCGUAAUUUCUUUUUAGAGUUCAAAUCGAUAAAGAWGUUUGCGACCUCGAUGUUGGAUUAAAAUAUAAUUUUGGUGUAGAAGCUAGAAUAUUA